UACGUAGGGUGCGAGCGUUAAUCGGAAUACUGGGCGUAAAGCGUGCGCAGGCGGUUCGUUAAGUCAGCUGUGAAAGCCCCGGGCUCAACCUGGGAAUUGCGGUUGAAACUGGCGAACUAGAAUCUGGCAGAGGGGGGUGGAAUUCCACGUGUAGCAGUGAAAUGCGUAGAUAUCGGGAGGAACAUCUGUGGCGAAGGCGACACCCUGGACCAGCACUGACACUGAGGCACGAAAGCGUGGGGAGCAAACAGG
rnacentral:rRNA from 1 species